GGGGCGUGUAGGCGUUGACAUGUAAGCCCCGGUCGUCUACCCUCCGUGCCCUAUGGGGGUCCGUGGACGGGGCAGCACUCACGGUCAACGGCACUGCCCAUACACUCAGUCCACCCUGGCGGGGACCUCACCAAUGACCUCCAUGAAAACAGGGUCCCAGACAAGCCAGUUGGUCUGAAGGCCGUGGCGCUGACUGACCACAUCAGGGUGUGCUGGCAGCCCCCCGCACAGCACAAUGUGCUGCUGUGCAGCUACACCAUUGCCUGGGACCAAGGCGUGGCGGACAUCUACUCCAAGAUCGUGGACAGCAAGCAGCACGGUUACAUCAUUGAUA